CUACGGGGCGCAGCAGUGAGGAAUUUUGCACAAUGGGGGAAACCCUGAUGCAGCGACGCCGUGUGUGGGAUGACGGGGCUUUGCCCUGUAAGCCACUGUCAGAUGGGAAGAAAAGAACCUUUGAGGUUCCGGGACUGUACCAUCAGAGGAAGGACCGGCUAACUACGUGCCAGCAGCCGCGGUAAUACGUAGGGUCCAAGCGUUGUCCGGAUUUACUGGGUGUAAAGGGUGCGCAGGCGGGCUUGUGCGUCUGGGGUUAAAGACUUCGGCUCAACCGAAGAAGUGCCUCGGAUACGGCAAGCCUAGAGUACGAGAGAGGAUGGUAGAAUUCCUGGUGUAGCGGUGAAAUGCGUAGAUAUCAGGAGGAAUACCGGUGGCGAAGGCGGCCAUCUGGCUCGUUACUGACGCUCAGGCACGAAAGCGUGGGGAGCAAACAGGAUUAGAUACCCGGGUAGUC
rnacentral:rRNA from 1 species